CAGCCGCCACGGUAAUACAGAGGGUGCAAGCGUUAAUCGGAAUUACUGGGCGUAAAGCGCGCGUAGGUGGUUCGUCAAGUUGGAUGUGAAAUCCCCGGGCUCAACCUGGGAACUGCAUCCAAAACUGGCGAGCUAGAGUAUGGUAGAGGGUGGUGGAAUUUCCUGUGUAGCGGUGAAAUGCGUAGAUAUAGGAAGGAACAUCAGUGGCGAAGGCGACCACCUGGACUGAUACUGACACUGAGGUGCGAAAGCGUGGGGAGCAAACAGGAUUAGAUACCCGUGUAGUCCCUGUCUCUUAUAC
rnacentral:rRNA from 1 species